AUUAGCAUUUGAGGUGAAGUUCUGUUAUACACUCAGGCUGUGGCUCUCUGAAAGUCAGUGCAUCACAGAACUUUGUCUCGAAAGCUUUCUA
rnacentral:pre_miRNA from 1 species